AGGACGAACGCUGGCGGCGUGCUUAACACAUGCAAGUCGAGCGAGGAGCUUGCUCCUAGCGGCGAACGGGUGAGUAACACGUGGGCAACCUGCCUCUAGCUCUGGGAUAAGCCCGGGAAACUGGGUCUAAUACCGGAUACGACCAUCGAAGACAUCUUCGUGAUGGUGGAAAGAAUCUCGGCUAGAGAUGGGCCCGCGGCCUAUCAGCUUGUUGGUGGGGUAAUGGCCUACCAAGGCGACGACGGGUAGCCGGCCUGAGAGGGCGACCGGCCACACUGGGACUGAGACACGGCCCAGACUCCUACGGGAGGCAGCAGUGGGGGAAUAUUGCGCAAUGGGCGAAAGCCUGACGCAGCGACGCCGCGUGAGGGACGAAGGCCUUCGGGUUGUAAACCGUCUUUCAGCAGGGACGAAGCGAAAGUGACGGUACCUGCAGAAGAAGCACCGGCCAACUACGCGCCAGCAGCCGCGGUAA
rnacentral:rRNA from 1 species